rnacentral:snoRNA from 1 species
GUGAAGUCAUGAUGAAGUUUAUCCAUUCUCUGAGUGCCUCUGCACUGCCCCCCGCAACAUCCAGGUCCCUGUUCUAGAGGCUUUGUGCUGUGCAGCCUCCAGAUUCCCCCCCAGUCUCUCAGUGGUCUACUGGGGGCUAUUCGCAUGUCUGGAUGGCUGCCUGCAGGAGUGAAAUAGCCAGCAGAGCUGGAGCCUCUUUCUUUGGGGGGGGGGCUCCAUCUCGGCCAAGAUGAGGGAUGCUGUCUGAUCAC